AUUGAACGCUGGCGGCAUGCCUUACACAUGCAAGUCGAACGGCAACAGGUCUUCGGAUGCUGACGAGUGGCGAACGGGUGAGUAAUACAUCGGAACGUGCCUAGUUGUGGGGGAUAACUACUCGAAAGAGUGGCUAAUACCGCAUGAGAUCCACGGAUGAAAGCAGGGGAUCGCAAGACCUUGUGCUACUAGAGCGGCCGAUGGCAGAUUAGGUAGUUGGUGGGAUAAAAGCUUACCAAGCCGACGAUCUGUAGCUGGUCUGAGAGGACGAUCAGCCACACUGGGACUGAGACACGGCCCAGACUCCUACGGGAGGCAGCAGUGGGGAAUUUUGGACAAUGGGCGAAAGCCUGAUCCAGCAAUGCCGCGUGCAGGAUGAAGGCCUUCGGGUUGUAAACUGCUUUUGUACGGAACGAAAAGCCCCGGGUUAAUACCCUGGGGUCAUGACGGUACCGUAAGAAUAAGCACCGGCUAACUACGUGCCAGCCGCCGCCGUAA
rnacentral:rRNA from 1 species